UGUAUCUUGAUUGUACUGUCUCAAAUUGCUGUUCUUUUGUGUUUUCUUAUUCUGUGUUAAUGCAAUUAAGUGAACGACACUUCAGGUUUUAGGUCUUUAUAAAUAAAAUAGAUAAAUGAUUCUUAUUUUUAAGUAAAAGCAACUUCUUCUCCAAAAAUGUCAUGAAAAUUAUGGAGAACAUUUCAUUUUAUGCUAUUAUUUUUGUAAUUUAUUUUUAGUUUAAUGAUAAUUCAAAUUAAUUUCGCGAAUUUGAUUGGCUUAAACACUUUGUAUACGAUGCCGUAUAAACCUUGAAGAACCGAAACACGCAGCAAUGUAUUUCUACUUCAUAGACAGCCACCUAUGUGUUAGCAUUUAAUUUACCAUUUGGUUCUUUUCGUGAUGGCAAAUUUGAUUCAAAUUACAUUACUUGAAAUGAAUAGUUAACGGUACACAGCUAUGAAGACUUGAUAAUUAAAUUACUUUUAAUAACUUUAUUCGCGCUUCAUUUAAAAUCAGUCUAAAGUUGCAAAUGUGUCGUCAAGAACAAUUUACAUUUAUAUAAUAUUGUUAUAAUAUUGUUAUAUAACUUGUUGACUGGAGGGUAUACGGGAGGAUAUAGCCUUGCUGACUUACAGUAGUAGUAUCUUUAUUUACAUCUCAUCAUUGCAUAUACAUGUUAAAACAUACAUAUAUCUUUUAAAACAGAAUAAAUAGAUGCAAUGCCAUUCCAUAUGGAAUUAUAAGGGAUGGUCAUAAGAAACUACUUUAAAAUCGAACAGUUUAUCUAAACUAAACAUGGUGUUUAAAAACUGUACAAGAAAAACACAAAAAAUAUUUCUAGUAAAACGUAUAUCAGAAUAAAGUAAAAAAGACACGAAGAAUGUAACAUGUAUUAAUAUACAUGUAACUCUCGGCUUAGCGCCGCGGGUUAUAAUUAUCUUAUUCAGUCUAUAUUCUCCCGUUUACCUCGCCAGCAACUUAAAUAACUAAUAAUAUAUAACCAUUUACAGCCAUCUCAUUAACGCCUAAAAUUACAAUGCUGUUAUGUUAGACUAAUAACUUAUUAUAAUAAUUGUAGCAAAUUGUUAUAUUGGUAAUGUGUUAUGCAGGAACUUGAUGGUUUUUUUUAAUUUAGAUUUAAGUAUAUAUUACUUGAAAUAAAUCAUAUCAACACCUCUUGUGGGAGUCUGUGUUUAUCCUGUUGAAACGAAAUAAAAAGGAAAGGCCAACACUUACUCAGUAUGGAUUCAAAAUACCGGUUCGCCUUGAUUUAUGUUGUCCUCGUUUUGAUAACAAUAUCUGCAGUAAGAGGACAAAAGUGUAAGAAAGUCAGAGGACGGUGUAAAGACACAAAUAUAAUACCAGGAAAGGGAGGGCGCUGUGCACGUAUAAAAAAUGGUUUUUGUGGUAUGAUUGGUGCUCGCAAAUGUAGAUGCAGGACUGGGCAAGCUCAGGGAUGGACAAAAUUGAUUAAUGGAUAAGUUUGAACGAGUGCAAAUUAUACAACCAACCGAACAAACAAACAACAGUGUAAAUUUGAAUAUAUUUACUGGCAAAUGUAGAACAUUUUGACUAUAGUCGAUUGCGUUUAACUUGAACAAACUUAUAAUGACGCUGAAGUACUUUGAAAUAUUUUAACAUCUGAAUUUAAAAAUCAGUCGUAUAUACGUGCAAACUGUAAAUAUGUAUUGUUUCAAUAAAAUUUAUCUAUCA